CUUGCUUUCUUUGCUGGCGACCGGCGCACGGGUGAGUAACACGUAUCCAACCUGCCCUUUACCCGGGGAUAGCCUUUCGAAAGAAAGAUUAAUACCCGAUAGUAUAAUGAUUCCGCAUGGUUUCAUUAUUAAAGGAUUCCGGUAAAGGAUGGGGAUGCGUUCCAUUAGGUUGUUGGUGAGGUAACGGCUCACCAAGCCUUCGAUGGAUAGGGGUUCUGAGAGGAAGGUCCCCCACAUUGGAACUGAGACACGGUCCAAACUCCUACGGGAGGCAGCAUG
rnacentral:rRNA from 1 species